rnacentral:misc_RNA from 1 species
CAGCGAUCUCAAUGCACUCUUGUCAUUCAAAUCCCUCAUAACAAAGGACCCAAUGGGUGCACUGUCAUCUUGGGAUGGGGACGCUUCUAACAGGAGCGCUCCUCAUUUCUGCCGGUGGAACGGCGUGACGUGCAGCAGCCACCAGCACGGCAGCCAUGUCACUGCCCUGCGCCUGCGAGCCUUCGGUCUGGAAGGCAACAUCUCCCAGUCGCUUGGGAAUCUUAGCCACCUCCAAACCCUGGAUCUGUCGAACAACAACCUAGAAGGCGAUAUACCUUCCAGUAUCGGAAGCAUCCCUUCUUCAGUGCUGAACCUUACAGGACUCACAAUCCUUAGUGCCACCGAAAAUUACAUGACAGGGAGGAUUCCAGAUUGGUUGGGAAACUUGACAGAUCUGACAGAUUUGAACUUGGCAUGGAAUAACUUCAGUGGACAGAUCCCACAAGCUUUAGAUUUAUGAUGCAGAUUUCUCGGAUGGUGAUCGUGCAAUAAUAAGAAGCCAACUUGAGACUUAUAUUCAUCAUGUGAGAAGACAUUCUGCCUUUUCUAGUUGCAUGGAUAUUGGAAGUUUGGCAGUAAAGAUGGUUGAAACUGAAAAGCAUAUGGUUUUUCCUUUAGUCUACAAGCUUAUUGAGUUGUCAUUAAUACUACCAGUUUCAACAGCAUCAGUUGAAAGAGCCUUCUCUGCAAUGAAAAUAAUUAAGAACAAACUGCGCAACAGGAUU